AGUGAACGCUGGCGGUAGGCCUAACACAUGCAAGUCGAACGGCAGCACAGUAAGAGCUUGCUCUUACGGGUGGCGAGUGGCGGACGGGUGAGGAAUACAUCGGAAUCUACUUUUUCGUGGGGGAUAACGUAGGGAAACUUACGCUAAUACCGCAUACGACCUACGGGUGAAAGCAGGGGAUCUUCGGACCUUGCGCGAUUGAAUGAGCCGAUGUCGGAUUAGCUAGUUGGCGGGGUAAAGGCCCACCAAGGCGACGAUCCGUAGCUGGUCUGAGAGGAUGAUCAGCCACAUUGGAACUGAGACACGGUCCAGACUCCUACGGGAGGCAGCAGUGGGGAAUAUUGGACAAUGGGCGCAAGCCUGAUCCAGCCAUACCGAGUGGGUGAAGAAGGCCUUCGGGUUGUAAAGCCCUUUUGUUGGGAAAGAAAAGCAGCAGGUUAAUACCCCGCUGUUCUGACGGUACCCAAAGAAUAAGCACCGGCUAACUUCGUG
rnacentral:rRNA from 1 species